rnacentral:rRNA from 1 species
AUACGUAGGUGACAAGCGUUAUCCGGAUUUACUGGGCGUAAAGGGCGUGUAGGCGGUCUUGCAAGUCAGAAGUGAAAUUCCUGAGCUCAACUCGGGCGCUGCUUCUGAAACUGCAGGACUUGAGUGCUGGAGGGGAUAGCGGAAUUCCUAGUGGAGCGGUAAAAUGCGCAGAUAUUAGGAAGAACACCGGUGGCGAAGGCGGAUAUCUGGACAGGAACUGACGCUGGGGCGCGAAAGCGUGGAGAGCAAACAGGAUUAGAUACCCUGGUAUUCCACGCCGUAAACGAUGAAUACUAGGUGUAGGGGGUAUCGACUCCCUCUGUGCCGCAGUUAACACAAUAAGUAUUCCGCCUGGGGAGUACGGCCGCAAGGUUGAAACUCAAAUGAAUUGACGGGG